UUAGUUCAUCUAAGGGGGUUAGUUGAUGCCAAACAUAAGAAAAUGAGGGUUAGUUGAACUAAGGGGGGUUAGUUGAUGCGGCGCAUCAACUAACCCUAAAUCUAAUCUAAGGGUUAGUUGAUGCGGCGCAUCAACUAACCCUGUAUGUGAUCUUAGGGGUUAGUUGAUGCGGCGCAUCAACUAAGGGGGAAGUUGACAUGCCAAAUCAACUACGGGGUUAAGGUGAUGUUGUUGUAAUUGUUAAAAGUUUUAUAUCUGUUUUUAAAAAUUGUGGUCUAGCAAAGUAAAUUUAUAAAAAUUAGAUCUGUGUGCCAAUCUUUGAUUUAAAAAAAAAAUUUAUUUUAAUUUUUUUAUGCAAGUAGAUACCUUUAAGAAAUAAAAAAAUUCUAUAAUCAUUCAAUCAUGAAUGAAUUAUUUUGUAAUUAUUCUUUAACGCGUCGUAUUUUCCAUAAAAAUAACCAAGCACUACAGUACAUGUAUAUUCCACUGAACUGUUUACAGCAGACGUGUCAAAAUGACGUCACAACACAAAUCGUCAUAGCGCGUGAACUUAAACGCAGUGCAAAAGGCCUUCAUCAUGAAUUUGGGAAGUCACAGAUCUAGAUCUAUAAAUUUUGACAUUUUUUUUUUCAUUUUAUCAACAAUUUAUUUGAAAAAUUGUCAUGCGGGAGAUUAUGUGUAUUUGCCGGGAAAAUAACGAUUAUCUGAGGUGUGUCACAGCUUGAUCACAGGCUUACUUGUGUCAAAGUCAGAAUGAUGUUUCCAGUAUACUGCCCUCAAAAGCCAUGGUAGGACAGUAUUUAAGUAGCACCAGUACAUGGAAUUUUGAAAUUGAGUGUGAACUGUAAUUACACGAAGAGGUGAAAUUUUCAACAAUGUCAUGCUAUUCCAUUACACUGAACUUACAUCAUGAACUUACAUCAUAUGUAGUGGCAGUUAUGUCUUUUCAGGAUGGAGUGAGUUACGCCUUGGAUACUGGAAAACAUGUGGCCAUUUCCAAAAGAACUGUUGGUGCCUCACAUCAAUGAGAGAGCCUGACACUGUCACAUAUUGGACAUAAAGUAGUGCAGUGCCUGACAAAUUAGCCAUAACUUGUCACUUGUACCAGGAGAAUGAAAAUCCAAUGUCAGAAAUUGCAAGACUUUUGAAAAACCUACACAAUGGGGGAAAAGUUGAUUGCAUAUAUCUAAAGAUAAAUUACUUGAGAGUGUGUAGCUUCUUACUAUUCUGACAGUCAAGAUCUCAUUGAAUUAAUUGUCCUUUGGGACAAUGUCGAUAAUGUUUUAUAGUGAUUGAAAAAAACAAUGCAGCAACAAGCAAUUACCUAAAAUUAAUUUAAAGUGAAGAUCUCCUUAUGCAGUAUUCUACCUUUUAAUGCUUCCUGAAGAACAUUUGCAAAGCAUAUAGUUGCCGCUUUGUCCUUCUUUAAUUAUGUCACACUUAUGUCACAAUUAUGUCCUACAGUUUUUCUUUUUAACUUUAUUUAUUGACCAAUAUCUUUCAUAUUUGAUAGGUAGAUACUUUUUAUGGUCCUUUUAGUAACUCGGUGCGAGUUUGAGAUUACUAGGGUAAAGGUCACCAGUGAAAAGAAUAUCCUACACUUGCUUGAACAACCAUUAUUAAUUGACAAAAAAGCAUUUCAUAUUUGGUAGGAACAUUUCUUCUGUAGUUCUCUAACUUAAGUUGGGGUUGUUGAGGUCAAUUGCAAGAAAAAUAGAGAGAGAUUUUUACAUUUUCCUUCACAUACUUCAGUUUAGUGUUUGGAAACAUUCAUUGCCAUUUUGCACACUGUCUUAAUUUAUUACCUGAAUUAUUCCAGGAAAGGUAGAAUACUGUUAUUUUCUGAUGUGAAUUUUGACUAAAUAAGGCCUUUAGUGUAGCAGUAUUAUAAAUUUGUUGUCAUAGAAAAGAUAGGUAAUAUUGUUGAGAAUUUAGGACUUUUAUAAUGUCAAAUGCAAUGAAGGAACACAGCAGAAACCAAAUACAUUGUACCAGGAGAUGAACUCUUUGUUUAAUGUGUUUUUUAGUUCAGUCUGGCAAGAUUUUUCAAUUUAUUUUUGUAACAAUGUAAACUUUGUUUCUUAGCUCACCUCGGCACAAUGUGCUCAUGCUGAGCUUUUGUGAUGGCUUUUUGUCUGUCAUGCAUUAUAACCAGUUACUAAAAAAAUAUUGUCUGAAAACAUGACUGUAUUUGGACCAAUCUUCACAGGAAAAUUACAUAGGUGGUCUCUUACCAAAGCUGUUCAAAUGUUUCCAGUUGGUUGCGUAUGUGGGUCAUAGAAACCAAACAACAAAGGGGUUUUAUAAUGCUUGUAUUGAAAUAUUUCUGGCCAAGAGUUUUAAUGUUUAUUUUGUUGCAUCAUUUAAAGGAGCUCUACCAAAGUUGUUAAAAGAAAUUUACAAUUAUUUUUUUGUGUCGCCUUUAAAAGGUGAUAUAUAGGGGUUACUUUUGUCGACGGCAUCGUUGUCGGCGGCCCCUAAAGCUUGUCCGGAGCAUAACUCAGUCACAAUAAGUCUGAUUGACUUCAAACUUUGUAUGCAUGCUUCUUUUAAUAACCCAAAGUGCAGUGCACAAGGACCGGUACUCUGCACUUCUUAAUUUUUGAGUAUUGCCUUUUGUUAAUUUUCAUAUUUAUUAAUUUUGUCUGGGCCAUUUCUCUUCAACUAUAAAAGCUAUGGACUUGAAACUUCAUAGGAUGACAGAUCUCAUUAAGAAGAAGUGCAGUGCACAAGAAAUGGUACUCUGCAUUUCUUAUUUUUUUAAAUUAUUGCCCUUUGUUGAUUUUCAUACUUCAUUUUUGUCCGGGCCAUUUCUCGUGAUUUAUAAAAGCUAUGGACUUGAAACUUCAUAGGAUGAUAGAUCUCAUUAAGAAGUGCAGUGCACAAGAACUGGCACUCUGUUUUUCUUAUUUUUUGAGUUAUUGCCCUUUGUUACUUUUCAUACUUUAUUUUUGUCCGGGCCAUUUUUCCUAUACAAUGAAAGCUAUUUACUUGAAACUUCAUAGAAUGAUAGAUCUCAUUAUGAAGAAGUGCAGUGCACAAGAACCAAUACUCUGCACUCCUUAUUUUUUGAGUUUUUGCCCUUUUUAAUUUUCAUACUUUAUAUUCAUCCUGGCCAUUUCUCCUAACGUAUAAAAGCUUUGGGCAUGAAACUUCAUAGGAUGAUAGGUCUCAUUGAGAUGAAGUGCAAUGCACAAAAAAACCGGUACUACAUGGUUUUUGAGUUCCUGCAUGCUCUUAGGGUCAGUUAGUAAAAGGUCCGUCACUCAGAGUCACUGUGGUCUUGUCCACUAAAGGCAUGUAUAACAUAUAAAAGAUGGUGCUAAUGGUCAGCUUUUAUUAUCACUUGUCCAACCAACCAAAUUGUUUUAUGGAUAACCAAUAGGCCACAUUUCAUCAAACUAUCAAUUUUUGUAUAUAGCAAUGUAUAUUGGACCAUAACUGUGAUUAUUUAAUUCAUACCCCACAGGUCAAAAUUGACCCUGAACCUGGACAAGUAAGUUUUACAAAGUCUUAUAUACAUGGGUGCAAGAAUACCUGAAUUUACUAUAAUAUUUAUAGGUUUUCUUUACAAAGUUUACUUUAAGAAGUAUUAAAUAACCUGAACUUAUAUAGGAAGUCCCCCAAUGCUUAGAAAUUAUAUAUUUUGAGUGUAGCAUGUUUAGUGGACAACUACCAAGUUUUUCCUAACCAUGGCUCUUCUGUCUACUUUUCAUAUACUUAAACCUAUAAAAUUCUUCUCCAAGACAAGGCCUUGUGCUUUUAUAUUUAGUGUGUGACAUUUUCUAGUUAAGUAAAGUUAUAGUUUGCUAAAAGGUGAGCGAAUGUGGGUUAUAAUUAUGACCCUGUUCUAUUUACAAUUGGUUAAAAAAAUGAAUUUGAUUAUUGAAAAACUAAAAUGUUAAAGUAAAUUUAUGUGUAAAUAAAUAUAUAGAAAGCUAACUUUUAUUGUUUUGUCAAUCUUUUUUAAUUCAUUGUCUCCAGGAUCAAAUAAAGCAAAAAAAUUAUGUCUGUAUGUGAAAAAAUACUCUUCAGAAGUCAGAUUUUUGCAGUAUACAAAGUUCUCAGUGCUAUGUUUAUAAAGCACUAUCCCUAUAUGUGAUCUAAUGGGGUUAGUUGAUGCGCCGCAUCAACUAACCUCUUUAGAUCACAUAUAGGGUUAGUUGAUGCGCUGCAUCAACUAACCCCCUUUGAUCAGAUACAGGGUUAGUUGAUGCGCCGCAUCAACUAACCCCUUAGAUCACAUACAGGGUUAGUUGAUGCGCCGCAUCAACUAACCCUUAGAUCAGAUUCAGGGUUAGUUGAUACGCC